GAUAACACUAGGUUAUAGUAGUAGAGUCAGAGAGAUAACACUAGGUUAUAGUAGUAGAGUCAGAGAGGUAUCACUAGGUUAUAGUAGUAGAGUCAGAGAGGUAUCACUAGGUUAUAGUAGUAGAGUCAGAGAGGUAACACUAGGUUAUAGUAGUAGAGUCAGAGAGGUAUCACUAGGUUAUAGUAGUAGAGUCAGAGAGAUAACACUAGGUUAUAGUAGUAGUCAGAGAGGUAUCACUAGGUUAUAGUAGUAGAGUCAGAGAGGUAACACUAGGUUAUAGUAGUAGAGUCAGAGAGGUAUCACUAGGUUAUAGUAGUAGAGUCAGAGAGGUAACACUAGGUUAUAGUAGUAGAGUCAGAGAGGUAUCACUAGGUUAUAGUAGUAGAGUCAGAGAGGUAUCACUAGGUUAUAGUAGUAGAGUCAGAGAGGUAACACUAGGUUAUAGUAGUAGAGUCAGAGAGGUAACACUAGGUUAUAGUAGUAGUCAGAGAGGUAUCACUAGGUUAUAGUAGUAGAGUCAGAGAGGUAUCACUAGGUUAUAGUAGUAGAGUCAGAGAGGUAACACUAGGUUAUAGUAGUAGAGUC